CAUUUUGCGUCAAACGAAAAGAAUCAUGAAAUAUUAAAAUAGUACAGAAAAAGGAAACCUCAAAAAACAAAACCAAAAACAAAACGAAUUUUCAGGCAAAAAAAAAAAAGAAAAUGUUCAGAGAUUCAUAGGGAUAAGCAUGCUCUCCGAUGUUCCGCACAAAAUAUUACACAAGUACACAAAGGACUUCCACCCAGUAUCCUGUGUAUGUGAGUGUUGGUCGGAGAGCGGGACAUGGGGAUCAUGAAUCAUGGGAUAGGGAAGCUAUGUGGAUUGGAGCGGAGCGGAGUGGAGUGGAGUGGUGCUGCACAUAGGGAUAACUUUUAUGGCUGAUGCUCCAAGGGCUUACAUAAUUCUUAGCAAAUAAGUUGCAUAAUACAAACGUUCUAGUCGAAAUAGAAUUUAGCUUUUACAAAUUCAAGAAUAAUACAUGAAUAAGCAUG